rnacentral:rRNA from 1 species
AAAGGUAAGCUACUAAGAGCGAAUGGUGGAUGCCUUGACUGGUAAAGGCGAUGAAGGACGUACUAGACUGCGAUAAGCUACGGGGAGCUGUCAAGAAGCUUUGAUCCGUAGAUUUCCGAAUGGGGCAACCCAAUGUAUAGAGAUAUACAUUACCUAUAUAGGAGCGAACGAGGGGAAUUGAAACAUCUUAGUACUCUCAGGAAAAGAAAUCAAUAGAGAUUGCGUCAGUAGCGGCGAGCGAAAGCGCAAGAGGGCAAACCCAGUGCUUGCACUGGGGGUUGUAGGACUGCAAUGUGCAAGAGGUAAGUUUAGCAGAACAUUCUGGAAAGUAUAACCAUAGAGGGUGAUAGUCCCGUAUGCGAAAAACAAACCUUAGCUAGCAGUAUCCUGAGUAGGGCGGGACACGAGGAAUCCUGUCUGAAUCCGGGUCGACCACGAUCCAACCCUAAAUACUAAUACCAGAUCGAUAGUGCACAAGUACCGUGAGGGAAAGGUGAAAAGAACUGAGGUGAUCAGAGUGAAAUAGAACCUGAAACCAUUUGCUUACA